GACGAGAGUUUAGGACACCACUGCAACCUGGGCUUCUCCUUAUCCACAUCCGGGCGGUUGGCUCUGCUUCUUCUCCAGUAUGUUGCUGUCCAUUGAUUCCAUUAAUCCAUUCUCCCCUGUUCCGGCUUUUUAUCAUGAAUACGCAGAUUUAGAUUAGGUGAUGUGGUACUUUGAUCGUUUGAUGAUGAGUACUCUAAUUACUGUGAUUGUGUGAUCCUGAUACUGUAUUUUGUUUCCUGUAAGUUUAAUGUUUGAGACUUGGAGCUUUAUAGCUUAUUGUUGAUACUUGUUUGUGACCUGGAUUGCAAAUGUGUGUCUCGUAUCUUGCUGCUGCUGUUGGAGCACUGAACGCUUGGCCUUGGACAUCACAGCCACCCCACCAUUACCUUGGACGCUACUUCAAAUCCUGGCAGCACAAAAUUUUAGUGGAAACAUAAGGAAAUUUGCAAGCGGGGAUUAGAAGAAUUAUUUUGAACUGAAUGAAGAAGCUACGCACCUUUUAGCGAACUUUUAUAUGCUUGCAUAGUUUUUGCUCUUCGACAAUGAACUUGUAAAAUUUCAAAAAAAUCUUACUAAGUUAAUUAAGCUUCAUGUAUGACAGAUUUUCAUUGGGAAUAGAUACACUUUUGUCAAAGAAGUAUCAUGUCAGAUUUACCAUCUUGUAAAAUCAACUGUGAUGGGGCGUUCUCUGCACCUGAGGGCACUGGUGGUGGAGGCUGGGGCUUCGUCAUACAUGACUUGCCGGGAGAUGUGAGAGGCUCUGGAGCGGGGCGCCUUCGACAUGUAGCAACACACCCCUUUAUUUUCUGAAACAUUGACGGGUGUGGCAACACACCCCUUUAUGUCCUUGUGUCUACUGUUAGGAAACUUCUUGCAAGUACUUUGGUUAGGUACUAGAAAGCAUGCGCGUGCACACACACACACACACAUGCCCACAGCAACAAGCACGCACAUACAACACAACACAGAUGCUCUGCUCCUGAUUUGUCAAUAGUAUGCUGAUGCUUUGCUUUGAUCUGCUCUAACACUAACUUUUUUGUCAAUAGUAAGGGAAGUCGAAGUUUCUGAUUGGUGAUGCUUUUGCUUCAGGAUACUUAAUUGCCUCGCAUUGACCUUUUAUUCAAAAGAAGGAUAAUCGAGUUGCAGCUGAAUUCUCCGGUUGGAUCAAGAAGCAAAUACAAUUAGAAAAUUUUACUUAGCAAUAACCGUAGUUUACAUUGAUAGAUGGAAAAAAUGUAAUAUCAUGCAGAAGUUGUUUUUUAUUUGUUUGAAUUGUGCAAAUGCUAUGGUGUAAUAUUCUCCAUAGACAUGUUCACUGUAGUCAAAAUAUAUGAAUGAUGUUUUGCGGUACGAGUAAUAUUGGUAUUUGUUUAUUGUAA